rnacentral:lncRNA from 1 species
UCCUUCCCUGCAAUAUUUAUUAAGGAGUUUACACAUACACAGGAGAAAGGCAACCAGGCGCUGUGGUUCCCACACAUGACAUCUCUGAAGCAAAGUUUUCUUGUUUGAAUUUUCAAGUGGAGUGAACAACGGCCGAGAGAAAGCUGUCCAGGCCCUCUGCCUCUUACACCUGGAGAAGGUGGGCAUCAGCACUCAGACACGAGGGCACAAAGACUGGCAGAUGGGAAAGGGAAAAGAGAAGGGACCUACCAAUGAGACGGCAAGUUUUAAACUGUAGGACAACCUGGCAACAGUUUAGGCUGCUGAUAAAUUAACUCCUCUCUGCUGUAAACCUAGAACUAUAAAAACAAAAACACACCCAGAGCAGAUGGGGAGGGGAGAUGUGUGUGUGUCUGUGGGGGACAUUCGUGGAGUC